GACGAACGCUGGCGGCGUGCUUAACACAUGCAAGUCGAACGGUAAGGCUCCAGCUUGCUGGGGUACACGAGUGGCGAACGGGUGAGUAACACGUGGGUGACCUGCCCUGCACUUCGGGAUAAGCCUGGGAAACUGGGUCUAAUACCGGAUAGGACCGCACCGUGAGGGUGUGGUGGAAAGUUUUUUCGGUGUGGGAUGGGCCCGCGGCCUAUCAGCUUGUUGGUGGGGUAAUGGCCUACCAAGGCGGCGACGGGUAGCCGGCCUGAGAGGGUGGACGGCCACAGUGGGACUGAGACACGGCCCAGACUCCUACGGGAGGCAGCAGUGGGGAAUAUUGCACAAUGGGCGGAAGCCUGAUGCAGCGACGCCGCGUGGGGGAUGACGGCCUUCGGGUUGUAAACUCCUUUCACCAUCGACGAAGGGUUUCUGACGGUAGAUGGAGAAGAAGCACCGGCUAACUACGU
rnacentral:rRNA from 1 species